rnacentral:rRNA from 1 species
AUUGAACGCUGGCGGCAUGCCUUACACAUGCAAGUCGAACGGUAACAGGUCUUCGGAUGCUGACGAGUGGCGAACGGGUGAGUAAUACAUCGGAACGUGCCCGAGAGUGGGGGAUAACGAGGCGAAAGCUUUGCUAAUACCGCAUACGAUCUCAGGAUGAAAGCAGGGGACCGCAAGGCCUUGCGCUCACGGAGCGGCCGAUGGCAGAUUAGGUAGUUGGUGGGAUAAAAGCUUACCAAGCCGACGAUCUGUAGCUGGUCUGAGAGGACGACCAGCCACACUGGGACUGAGACACGGCCCAGACUCCUACGGGAGGCAGCAGUGGGGAAUUUUGGACAAUGGGCACAAGCCUGGUCCAGCCAUGCCGCGUGCAGGAUGAAGGCCUUCGGGUUGUAAACUGCUUUUGUACGGAACGAAAAGACUCCUUCUAAUAAAGGGGGUCCAUGACGGUACCGUAAGAAUAAGCACCGGCUAACUACGUGCCAGCCGCCGCAGUAAUAC